ACACCAACAACAUAAGAAAGGACACAACAACCUGCUCCUCUGUGCCUCUUGCCUCCCUCACAGACCAGGGGAGGCCGUGUGUGGAGCCGUGCCGGUCAGGGUGGUGCCGAGUGAGUGCCUUGUGAUUACUGAAGCUUGUGUGAGAGAGUGCCUGCCUUGUGAUCACUGAAGCUUGUGUGAGAGAGUGCCUGCCUUGUGAUCACUGAAGCUUGUGUGAGAGAGUGCCUGCCUUGUGAUCACUGAAGCUUGUGUGAGAGAGUGCCUGCCUUGUGAUCACUGAAGCUUGUGUGAGAGAGUGCCUGCCUUGUGAUCACUGAAACUUGUGUGAGAGAGUGCCUGCCUUGUGAUCACUGAAGCUUGUGUGAGAGAGUGCCUGCCUUGUGAUCACUGAAGCUUGUGUGAGUGCCUGCCUUGUGAUCACUGAAGCUUGUGUGAGAGAGUGCCUGCCUUGUGAUCACUGAAGCUUGUGAGAGAGUGCCUUGUGAUUACUGAAGCUUGUUUUAUUUUUUUAUUUUUUUUUACAACCAAGGAGACAGCUCAAAGGCACACAAAAAAGGAAACAAUAAUAAAAAAAUAAAAAGCCCGCAACUUGCUGCUCCCAGAAAUAGAAGCUUAUGUGAGUGAGGGCCUUGUGAUUACUGAAGCUUGGGUGCCCGGUGAAUACCCAGCACACUGAUAAAGGAGGCUUGUGGGGUAGUGUGAUCCGGAGCCUUAGAGAAGAUGAGUGUGGGCACCUCAGUCACAGGCGCCAUGUUGUUACCAUAUGAGGCUUUUAACCCGGUAGCAGCGAGGAUCGUGUUUCUUAAUGGUCCCUCCAAGCGAGAAAAAUGAGAAAAAAUCACCCCUCACACAAACCAUUUCAUAAUAUAUAUCAAAACAUUUGUGAUCAGAUUAUGUAUCAUCUAUUUUGGGGGGUUUAUAUCAGGGCAAAAAUUUGGCCCGUCGCAGCUACACGGUAAAGCCACAAAUUUGGCCCCUCACUGCUACAUGAUAAAGCCACAAAUUUGGCCCAUCACUGCUACAUGAUAAAGCCACAAAUUUGGCCCGUCGCUGCUACCGGGUUAAGAGCUGCACAAAAUUCAAGUUAAUACCAAUACAACAAUGUUAUUUUUUGCUCUGGGUAUUAGCAGGAUCUCAAAAAAGUACCCAGAGCACAAAAAACACUUGUAUCAACAUCAAUUUAAAUUUCACUCAUCUCUUUUGUGAUGGAGGCGGCCACACUCUCCUGCUCCACGGCUCCGGUGUCAGCAAAAGAGACAACGGCCAGAUAUCAAGUUAUCCGUGACCUGUGUCGCGUACACGUCCAUGUCUGCCUCUGGUGUGGUCUCUAGUGAGUAUUAAACAAGCUUUCUAAGUUUAAUUUACACUUGACCCACAAUUUCCCAGAUGUCGGAUUUCCCGGACAAGAUCUCUGGUCCGGCAACAGACCGCACUGGGCAUCAGUUCAGCUCUUCGCCACUUGAGGCCUCUCGUGUGUCUCUCCGUGGCAAUGGCAGUCCUUUGUUUACUAACAUUUAUACAGUUUCGGUGUUGUCUGCUGCAACACUGUAUAUGCACAGCACUUAUUCAAAGACCAGAAGUCAAAACAACCACACCUUCAAAAAUAAUACCAAUCUAACACCAAAUUAAAUUACACUACAGGUGCUGCAAAACAAAACAAAACAGCCGUGAGCAAAAUGUUAGAGACAAAACGUCUCAUGAUGCCUCCUGGACUUGACUGUGGCAUUGAUGAGGCACAUAAGGGCCAGGCCUGCACACCUUUCCUCCUGAGUGACCAUUUACCCAAGACCAAGAAAAGACUGGCCUUGAUAUUUACCAUAUAUAGACACAAACCUUAACACCCAGGAGCACUGACUAAUACACAUCCAUUUUCCCAGCCAGCAAGCACUGUGUCUGGACAUUUUAAUUUUUUAACCCUUGAUCGCCAGGGCCGUCCGGGAUUCUGGCAAGCGUCCUAGUUUGUGUUGCUGUCAGGACAGUGCUAGGCCUAUGAGGCUGGCUGCCUAUGACAUCUCAGUUUGAGUUGUGGUCUUGCUGUGUCGUGCUUUAGUGGGGCUCCUGUGUACAGUUAAAUAUCCAGCAACAAUGUCCAGGAUUCCACACACUGGGCUGAAUAUUUUACAGCCUGGGCCAAAGCAACCCCUGCUGCAGAAGUGUUUUUCCACCCUAUUUUACCUUUUUUUUUAUUUGUUGAUGUGUUUACAAUGCAAACUUCAUGGCUUGAUAUAAGUACUUUAUAAUGAAGUUUAGAAGUGCAUAUAUUUCAUGUAUAAAAUAUAAGAAUAAACUUUGUGCCAAUUCUAAAUGUAUUUUUCGACCCCAAAAAUUUGUCCAGAAUUCCGGACAUGUCUGGCGAUAACCCGACAUUUGGAGCCCCGGUGAUCAAGGGUCAACACUUCUGGCAGACCAAAGAAGUGAGGAGCAAAAUACCAAAUUCUGCAUCAGCCCCGCUGACACGUGUCCACUGGUCUAAGAGUGUUAGCCGAGUGUUUGUGAAAAAAGGACUCGUCGUCGUUACGUGAGUGUGGCCGGGCACCUCUGCUGCAUCACCUUGCCUUCCAUGAAUGUUUCGUUCAACUAUGACUGCCGUCUCCGGUGCAUGGUCGCCUUAUUAUAUGAGCUGCCGAGGGAAUAGUGUGAGGGGGCUGUUGUUGUGGGAUACCAUUUUUGUCACACUCAGCUGAUUGACUGUGUAUGGUGUUGUCAAUACCUGUGCUAAAGGACAAAGAUCUGGAGCCUGAAGGUGCUGGUGCUCCCUGCCUUACUCUGUGGCUGUGAGGCAUGGACUCUAAAUAGUGACUUGGAGAGGAGGAUUGAUGCCUUUGGUAAUAAGUGUCUGCAGAGAAUCGUGACUCUGUGUCAAACUGUCGACUACUGCGUGAGACUGAUUAGAUAAAUAUUACCUGCAUAGUCUGUCAACGCCAACUCUGUCCAUACAGACAUGUGGCACACUGCCCAGAAGCCAACCCUGCCCGCUAGGUUGUCUCUGUAGGAGAUGACCCUGAGUGGAGGAGGCCAAGGGGACGCCCACAGAGUUGUGGCUUGAGCAAGUCAACAGAUCCUGCCAGGACGUACAAAGGGUGGGAGGGGCCUGCCCUGCAUGGAGACAAACUUUGAGUUGUCACUUGACUGAUUUUUGUGUUUCAGUAUUUGUGGUUUUGUACUCUCCCUCACUCUACAGGACAGAAAACUGUUAGGAGCUGCAAAGAAGCAAACCAACAGCAGACAGUCUGUUACAUGAGGGAAGACACAGGCAGCAACACCCAAUGCAGCGCCUGUGCGGUGCAGGGUCAGCGCGCCUGGCUAUGUAUCCGCAGGCCUGGGGUCAAAUCCUGGCCUAGGCAGACACUGCACAGUCCAGCCAGUUAUUUAUCCUCCCUUUGGGGCUGGUGGAUAAAUGAGUACUUAGGGACCCUGAGGAAGGCGAACAGUAGUAACUUGCCUGUCAUACAGACUCUGUGUCCUGGGUGAUGGGUUCCCUCCCACCACAGGCUCAAGGGUUAAUGGUACAGGGACGAACACUGAGGCAAUGCCCAGCUUAGCGUAUCUCCCCAACUCUAGCCUUCACCUCACCCCAGGUGUUAUCUCCACACACACCUAGUUGUUAAUACACGUCAUCAAUGCAUAGAUCGUGGGAAGCCCAAGGCCUCACCGAGGGGCAGAACUCUCAAGGACUUCAAACUUUUGCUGGGCUCUGAGAAAUGUCAUGUGGGUAAAAACUGAGGGAUGGCAGCAAUGCAGGCGACAAAAAGACACAGACAGACACACAGACAACAAGUUCAGGUGACCACAAAGCCUGUGUGUCAGGAGCCCUCUCUCACAGCUGCUGCCCCUCCCCUGGCCAGGCCCAGCAGCACCCAGCACCACCCUGAUGCACGGCACACACCCUGACCCCCUACCCUCCUUCACCCCCCAAGCUGUGCCAGGAGGCCAUGGAGAGAGAGAGAGAGAGAGAGAGAGAGAGAGAGAGAGAGAGAGAGAGAGAGAGAGAGAGAAAGAGAGAGAGAGAGAGAGAGAGAGAAAGAGAGAGAGAGAGAAAGAGAGAGAGAGAGAGAGAGAGAGAGAGA